rnacentral:lncRNA from 1 species
ACCGUGUCCGCCACCCACGGCGACAUGGACCAGAACACGCGCGAUGUGAUCAUGCGCGAGUUCCGCUCCGGCUCGUCGCGUGUGCUGAUCACCACCGACCUGCUGGCCCGCGGCAUUGACGUGCAGCAGGUGUCGCUGGUCAUCAACUACGACCUGCCCACCCAGCCCGAGAACUACCUGCACCGCAUUGGUCGCUCGGGCCGCUUCGGACGCAAGGGUGUUGCCAUCAACUUCGUGACCAAGGUAAGCGGCUGGGCAAGGAGGUCAAUGAAAGGCGAUGUUCGGAACUCUUGCUGGAGCCGAAUAUGGAUUGGGAAAGGGUGCUUGGCCGGCGCGUGUCAGCGCUGAAGCAUUGAUGACGCGAUGAUGAGAGUGGCAGUAAGGCGUGCUGCUGUGGAACGCGGGACCUGGCACCUGCUGACUCUCAACCAUAUCCUUGUGCCUUUGCAGGACGACGAGCGCAUGCUCCAGGACAUCCAGCGGUUCUACAACACCGUGAUUGAGGAGCUGCCCUCGAACGUCGCUGACCUCAUCUAAGCGCUCUACUACCACCAAAUGUGCGCUAGCCCCUGGGUCCAGCCGAUCCCAAGCACGGGGCGAAGCCUGCAGGAUGUGAAGGGCACGGGGCAGGGCGCGCCGCCACGCAGCCGCCCCGUGACCCGACAACGUGCUGUACGUGCUGCGCUGCGAGUCCUUUUGAACACGGGCCGUCGUUGCGGGUGGUAAACGUGAACCUGUGUUGAGGCGGGUCGGCGCAGCUUCGGUUGCAGCCAUUUGAGAGAGAAGGAAGUUUGCCGGUUUGCAAACGGCAGGAGUUUUGUCGCGAC